GUGUACCAGUUGUCUUGCCAAAGGCAUCGCUGGGUAGCUAUGUAUGGACGGGAUAAGUGCUGAUAGCAUCUAAGCAUGAAGCCCCCCUCAAGAUGAGAUUUCCCAUUACGCAAGUAAGUAAGACCCCUGAAAGACGAUCAGGUAGAUAGGUUCGAGAUGGAAGUGCAGCGAUGUACGGAGUUGACGAAUACUAAUAGGUCGAGGACUUAACCAAAUA
rnacentral:rRNA from 1 species